rnacentral:rRNA from 1 species
UUUCUAAUUCUACCUGGAGGAGCUUGCUAUCUAACCGAUAAUCCACGUCAUACCUCACCAGCUUUUGAAAUAUAACAGCUUGUAUACCAUCGUCGUCAGUUUACUUCAUGAGAAAUGUAAACAAAAAGAACCAGACCUUCUUGACGUCAGAUCGAGGUGCAGCUAAUAAGCUGGGGAUAAGUGAGCUACAAUCAUACUAAUAAUCUAAACUCUAUCGAUGAACAGCAGCCUGAAACAACUGCCCGAAACAGGAUUCAGAAGUAAUGGACAAAAGAAAAUGCCCACGAACAAUUAAGCCCUAGAACGCGC